ACCAUUAACGCGGUUUCCUAUUGUGGGUUUUUAAUGUUUUUAGGAUUAAAAAAAAAAAAAUUAUGCAAUUAGAGAAAGAACGUCUCUCAAUUAGGGUCCAGAAAACGUCUCUUAAUUAGGGUCCAGAAGACACGUCUCUUAUGAGACACGUGUUGGGCAUUCACGUCUCUUUCUCUCUCUCCCGAAAUCAACCCCGCCUCUCUCUCUCGUGAUCUCUCCUCGACUAUCUCUCCUUGGCUCUGCGCCGCGUUAUCCCUCAUCCUCUCCAUGAAUUCCUCCCCAGCUUGCUUCUUCCACUCUCCUCUUCGACCCAUCUCGCUUCCCCAAUCCUCCUAUGGCUUCUUCUCAAAGCGUAAGCUUCUCUUCCUCUGAUUACAUCUGAAUCAAAGCAAUCAUUUAUGAGGACACAGUCUGUUGAUGAUAGAUUAAGAAUCAGAGCAAUCACUUAUCUGUCAAUUGAUUCUGUUUUGUUGCUUUUGUUUAAUUUCUUGUGGGUUUCUUAAAUAUGACAAUCGAUGUUGAUGCUAUCGAAGAUGAUGAUGAUGUUGUUGAGUCAACUGCUUCUUCUUUUGAUCGAGCUAAAAUUACAAGAUUGUGAUUGAUGAUGAUACCAAGUGAUCAUGUAAAUGUGUUGCGCACAAGUCCUUUGUCAUGUUCUUCCAUCCUUGCACUUCUCUCCAAUACUCUGUUUUUGCAGCCACAGAGAGAACAAAGGGGGUGCCUAGACGACAACAGGAGGCCAGAGCUUCAUGCGUUUUAUUUCGACGAGGAGAAGAAGAAAUAUUUCACAAUUAAAGGUCUUAUCCCAGGAACCUAAUUAUCAGAAGAGAAAUAAACUGAAAGCAUUGAAGCUGCUUUGUUCCCGAGAGCUAAGUGGCAGUGUUAUUGCUCUUAAUAAUAAGAAGAACAAGUCUAAAUUCAAGGAGGAGAUUGAAAAGACACACGCCUCUAACCCUCUGAUGUGGAGAUAUGAUUCUACGGAAAACAUAGGCGAUGCUGCUUUGAAAGAGUUUCAGGUUGAUAUACAAACAUCUCAAGGCCUCACCAUAUUUGUGUAAUUGAGGCUGCUUGAGGUAUGUUCUAUGAGUUAAGUCUCCUCCUAGAAUUAACAACAUUAGAUUUUUUUCAUUCCAAUCUAUAUGCUUUGGACAUGUCUAAUUUUUUUUUAAGACCCCCUAAAUAAGAAACUACCAUUGGAGGGUAUGAAUCAAGGUGUUUCUUAAACAAGGUUCUUAAUUACAUUUAAUUAGUAAAAUAUUCAUUAAGAGAUCCAAUGGGGUUUGUGGGUUAAUCAU